GAUUCUUUAAUUAAAGUCGUGAAAAAGAUGAACAAUAUAUUAAUCUGUUGUAAUAAUUAAAGUGAUCAUCAAUUAUGCUUUUACGAUGUAACAACGUCAAGCAUUUGUGCUUGUAACUUUCAUUAAUAUUUUUUAUUUGUCUUCGUUUUGUCGGAUGAUAGGUUACUUAAUUAACUUGACAAUCAAAUUGUAUAUGUGUAGAGAUACUCGCUUAACUUUCUU
rnacentral:lncRNA from 1 species